GUAACCUUUGCGUUUGGCUGAUUGAAACUCUGGCAUAUCUCUACUGACUGCUCUGGGUUGUGGGUGUAAGCCUCUGUGACAUCAAGAAUCCUUUUCCCAAAGAGGCCACUUUGGAAGGACUGGAAAUGCUGCAGAUUUUUUCAGUAGGACUGCACUGAAUACAUGAAUCAAUGACUGCAGGAACAUCUAAUUAAAUACUCUGAGUCAAAGAAAUAUGACUGUCAACAUUAGCAACCAGGUAAUAAAGUGUUGCCUUGCUAGGCGAAUGUUUGAGAAUGAUGAAUUCAGUAGUACACGAGAAGAGGUCAGAUGCUGCACUGAGUAUCUUCUGUGGGCAAGGAAAUGCUGAACUUCAGCUCAGUAUAUCACUGCUGAAGCUGUGCCUGGCCAUGGGAGAUGACAAGCAGCUGCUACCAGCCAAGCUUUAAAUCAAGAGAGAAGAAUCUUUUCCAUUACAUUCCAGUGAAUUGUGAAAGAUGGAAAUCGAAUCACUGCUUGGAAAGCUGUACUUCUACAAGGAGCUAUGUGAAGUUUGAUGGAACUCUUGUGUGUUUGGGUGCGUCCCCCCUUGGCAGCUUCACCUGCUCAGCUCAGGUGAAAGGGAAGUAUAGAAAAAGACUUGUUGCUGAGCAUGAUAGAAAAAUCUCAGGGUGUGCAUGUUCACGAUGUUGCUACAAUGUAUGGAUUCCUCUGGAAAAAGACUUUGCUGGAUUUGUAUAA
rnacentral:lncRNA from 1 species